rnacentral:rRNA from 1 species
GGCUUUAGUGGCGGACUGGUGAGUAACGCGUAAGGAACCUACCUUUUAGAGGGGAAUAACAAUGAGAAAUCAUUGCUAAUACCGCAUAUGCCAUAGCUAUUGCAUGAUAGCAGUGGGAAAGGAGCAAUUCGCUAGAAGAUGGCCUUGCGUCUGAUUAGAUAGUUGGUGGGGUAACGGCCUACCAAGUCGACGAUCAGUAGCCGGACUGAGAGGUUGAACGGCCACAUUGGGACUGAGAUACGGCCCAGACUCCUACGGGAGGCAGCAGUCGGGAAUAUUGCGCAAUGGAGGAAACUCUGACGCAGUGACGCCGCGUAUAGGAAGAAGGUUUUCGGAUUGUAAACUAUUGUCGUUAGGGAAGAGAAAGGACAGUACCUAAGGAGGAAGCUCCGGCUAACUACGUGCCAGCAGCCGCGGUAAUACGUAGGGAGCGAGCGUUAUUCCGGAAUUAUUGGGUGUAAAGGGUGCGUAGACGGGAGAGCAAGUUAGUUGUGAAAUCCCUUCGGCUUAACUGAGGAACUGCAACUAAAACUACGAUUCUUG